rnacentral:rRNA from 1 species
UGGGGAAUAUUGCACAAUGGGCGAAAGCCUGAUGCAGCGACGCCGCGUGAGGGAUGAAGGCCUUCGGGUUGUAAACCUCUUUCAGCAGGGAAGAAGCAGCCGGGUUUUCUUGGUUGUGACGGUACCUGCAGAAGAAGCACCGGCUAACUACGUGCCAGCAGCCGCGGUAAUACGUAGGGUGCAAGCGUUGUCCGGAAUUAUUGGGCGUAAAGAGCUUGUAGGCGGUUUGUCGCGUCUGCUGUGAAAUUUCGGGGCUCAACCCCGAACUUGCAGUGGGUACGGGCAGACUAGAGUGUGGUAGGGGAGACUGGAAUUCCUGGUGUAGCGGUGAAAUGCGCAGAUAUCAGGAGGAACACCGAUGGCGAAGGCAGGUCUCUGGGCCACUACUGACGCUGAGAAGCGAAAGCAUGGGGAGCGAACAG